rnacentral:rRNA from 1 species
CGAACGGGUGAGUAACGCGUGAGCAACCUGCCUAUGACAGUGGGAUAGCCUCGGGAAACCGGGAUUAAUACCGCAUAAAAUCGUAGAAACACAUGUUUUAACGGUCAAAGAUUUUAUCGGUCAUAGAUGGGCUCGCGUCUGAUUAGCUAGUUGGUGAGAUAACAGCCCACCAAGGCGACGAUCAGUAGCCGGUCUGAGAGGAUGAACGGCCACAUUGGAACUGAGACACGGUCCAA